ACUCCUACGGGAGGCAGCAGUGGGGAAUAUUGCACAAUGGGGGCAACCCUGAUGCAGCAACGCCGCGUGAGCGAAGAAGGCCCUCGGGUCGUAAAGCUCUGUCCUAUGGGAAGAAGAAGUGACGGUACCAUAGGAGGAAGCCCCGGCUAACUACGUGCCAGCAGCCGCGGUAAUACGUAGGGGGCAAGCGUUAUCCGGAAUCACUGGGCGUAAAGGGUGCGUAGGCGGCCGAACAAGUCAGGGGUGAAAGGCUACGGCUCAACCGUAGUAAGCCUUUGAAACUAUUCGGCUUGAGUACAGGAGAGGUAAGUGGAAUUCCUAGUGUAGCGGUGAAAUGCGUAGAUAUUAGGAGGAACACCAGUGGCGAAGGCGACUUACUGGACUGUAACUGACGCUGAGGCACGAAAGCGUGGGGAGCGAACAGGAUUAGAUACCCUAGUAGUCC
rnacentral:rRNA from 1 species